rnacentral:tRNA from 2 species
UUUCUCUUAGCUUAAAAUUUAGAGCGUUAGUUUGAAGCACUGAAGGCAACAUUUGUUAGGGAGGU